CAGCCGCCACGGUAAUACAGAGGGUGCGAGCGUUAAUCGGAAUUACUGGGCGUAAAGCGCACGCAGGCGGUCUGUCAAGUCAGAUGUGAAAUCCCCGGGCUUAACCUGGGAACUGCAUUUGAAACUGGCAGGCUAGAGUCUUGUAGAGGGGGGUAGAAUUCCAGGUGUAGCGGUGAAAUGCGUAGAGAUCUGGAGGAAUACCGGUGGCGAAGGCGGCCCCCUGGACAAAGACUGACGCUCAGGUGCGAAAGCGUGGGGAGCAAACAGGAUUAGAUACCCCAGUAGUCCCUGUCUCUUAUAU
rnacentral:rRNA from 1 species